AUCCUUUUGUGAUUCAUAAGUGUGAUGAUUGAGUUUUCAUACUCCUGUGUGAGAUGUGCCCCCGAAAACCUGCAAACCUGUCACAACAUUUGGUCAUUAUCAGACA